UAACAACUCACCUGCCGAAUGAAUUAGCCCUGAAAAUGGAUGGCGCUGAAGCGGGCUGCCGACACCGUGCCGUCUGGGCGAGAAAGGCCCCAGAUGAGUAGGAGGGCGUGGCGGCCGUAUCGAAGCACGCGUGCAAACGCGUGUGGAACGGCCGCUAGUGCAGAUCUUGGUGGUAGUAGCAAGUAUUCAAGCGAGAUCCUUGAAGGGCGAAGCGGGGAAGGGUUCCACGCGAACAUUGAUUGGGCGUGGGUGAGUCGUUCCUAAGCCGAGUGGCGAUUGCUAAGUAGCGGCGAAAGGGAAGCGGGUUGAAAUUCCCGCACACGGAUGUGGACGCGGUGACGCGACUGAUGGGGCGAAGACGCUGGCGACGGCGCUGGGCARAGUUGUCUUUUCUGUUUGACCAGUUUGCGCGCGCGGUGUGGAAUCCGCUUGUCGGGAGAAACACGCGUGUGCGGGCAGAGCGCCGGGGCUUUUCCGGCGUCCAGCUCGCCGUCGACGGCCCUUGAAAAUUUGCCUGCUGAAAAUCUUUGAUUUGAAAUCCACGCCGUGGCGUACCGAUCACCGCAUCAGGUCCCCAAGGUGAACAGCCUCUGCUCAGUAUGAAUAAU
rnacentral:rRNA from 1 species